GUGCUUGCUUGGGCAACACACAUACUAAAAUUGAAACUGCACAGAGAUUAGCAUGGACCCUGUGCAAAAAUGACAGGCAAAUCAUGACAUAGUCCUUUGUUUG